rnacentral:rRNA from 1 species
UACGUAUGGGGCAAGCGUUGUUCGGAAUUAUUGGGCGUAAAGAGCGUGUAGGCGGUGUGCUCAGCCCGAUGUAAAAGGCCACGGCUUAACCGUGGUAUGCGUCGGGAACUGGCAUACUAGAGUCUAGGAGGGGAAGCUGGAAUUCUUGGUGGAGGGGUGAAAUCUGUAGAUCCCAAGGAGAACACCGGAGGCGAAGGCGAGCUUCUGGCCAUAGACUGACGCUGAGAUGCGAAAGCGUGGGGAGCGAACAGG